rnacentral:lncRNA from 1 species
AGACAAUGGAAAUUGUCCUAAUGGGACGUUUGUAAGGAGCAUGGAAUUCGACACCGACUAAAUAUGUACACUGUGAAUACACAUAAAGUAAACAAUCUGUUUCAGAAUUACUAGCACAUGAUGACAUGUGUGAAGCUGGGUUCAUUGAAAAAUGUGAAAGGUGGUCGUUUAUUUUUUUUGAUUGUAAGUGAAUGUGUCGAUCACGCUCUUUGAAAGGCACGUAAAGCGACACCCAGACAAAAGGCUCACGAGCUCCGCAGUAAGAGAUGCGCUGCACGUGCUGCGUGACGUGUAUAACCAACGUUACAGCGAACGUUCCAUCGACCAUCCGUGCCCGUUUUUUCUUUUUGAUUCAUAAACAAGCGCUUCGAUCAGGAUUCGCGAAGUCAUCGCAACCGCCCAUCGGAGUUUUUAUAAUAUAUUAUGGCGUUACCAAAACACAAGUCUCGGGCCCCGGUGACGCGAAACUGCGGAUUUUGAAAAAAUUUUUCAUUUCGGCGCGAUUCCAGCGACACUCAACACGGAGAAAAUGAGUUCUCUGCUCCAGCAACGAGAAGAGGGUCGCCACUUUUUUGGCGAUGAUUUUCCAGUGAUAAUGAGUGAAGACGAAGAGUCUUUAAAUGAGACAACAGAUGGCUGGCAGGAGCCUCAAGAAGACAGCAGCAGUGCCCACGUGGCUUCUGGGGACCUCACUGAAUGGAAGCCUGUCGACUGCUCAGAGAGUGGCGCCGUCUCCCGUACUGCCGCACCGCUCGCUGAGAGCGGAGGGACCCAGGAGUCAGUCAAGACUGAAGACAAUAAGGACACUGUGAACCAUGUGUGGCAGCACUGCUAUGAUACAGCGGAAAAUACACCAAAUUGCAGUUACCGUUUGAGAUCUCACGCAGAUGAGAAGCUAUACGUGUGUCUCGUGUGCUCUAAGUGUUUUUGCACCCGGAGCCAGCUCACUCGCCACUAUCAAGCAUGUAUCUUCGCCGACUCGGAACAAUAUGACAAACAUGCUGCUACAGAGCUGAAGAGUGAGUCUGAGGAGUCUUCUCCUAGCUCUGACUCAUGCUCGCCAUUAAUGCUGAAGUACACCUGCCAAAUAUGCUUUUAUGCUACUGGUAGUUUGGCACAUUUUAAUUGCCAUUUAAGAACACACAGGGGUGAGAAACCAUACGUGUCUCGUACCUGGAGCCAUCUGAUCCGACACAUUCGGACGUGCAACUAUAGAGACCUCUCCAGUCUUGCUUUAAAGAUGCAGACGUGUGAGUUUUGCAAGUACACCACUAAUUCCCCAUAUAACUUAGAGGUCCACAAGCGAAUCCAUGCAGGCCAGUGAUGUGUAUGAUGUGUAAAGCUGAGUUCCGCACAUAAAGCCAUCUUCACUGCUGCAAUAGGAGCCAUAUAAAGAAAUCGGAAUAGCUAAUGUACUUGCAGUGGCUCAACUUGAAAUAGUCCAAAAAUGGCCUGAAGUCUAACACCCAAACUAAUACUUUAUCUAUAAUACUAAUACUGAUACUAAUACUUAGAAGUAAUAGUUUUCUUCUUUUCAAAAUCCUAGUUGAAAUUUGAAAAUAAAUUUCAAGCUUUGACCCUGAUUUCA